rnacentral:lncRNA from 1 species
UGGCUACAUAUCUGUCUGAGGAACAAUAGCUACCUGUAUUCUGCACGGGCUGCUGGGCAGGCACUAGCAAGCAGGAGAAGGUCUGCCUCCGCUAGAGCCUCGCUAGUGGGAAUCCCUACUGACAGCCCUGCUUCGCACUGGGGAGGGGGGAAGCAGAACCUUGUCUGCUCGUUGACAAGGGACAGAGCUUUGAUCGCUCUUCUCCAGCCCUGACUUGGCCCGAGGUUUAGAUCCCCAGUCCCGAAGUCCACGGGCUCUCCUCACUCCUGCACGCACCCACUCGCACACACCCCUUUGCCGACAGAUCCGUGUCACGGCUGUAACUGAGGCACACAGCAAUAAACAUAGCAGAACCAAUCUCCAUGGUGGCAAGAGGGGGCACUGGAGGUGACAACAAUGGAGAAGGAUCUUUCUGCUGACAAGUUUUAGGAUUUGCUGACAGAGCCCCAAAGAUGCCAGAGAUCAUCCUCAUCUCGCCGUGCGCUCUCUCCACAGAUGGCUGGGGCUCAUGGAGCCAUCACUGCCCCUCCAAUGCAGCCUGCACUUCAAGGGGCUUCACUCCAAGUGCCGCAGGCCUCCAGGCUGAGACACAGUGGAUGAUUGAUUGUACCCGCCAGCUGGCUAAUAUCAUAAUUAACAAAGUUGCUACCAUGUCUGAGAAGUUUAAUCGAAAAAAUUGCUGGCAGUAUGAUACCAUUGUCACAGAGAUCACAAGCACUGCAGUGUCGACUUUUGUACUGUUGGAGCCGCAGGACUAUGUAGAUGUGCAGAGAAGUCGUUCGCUGGGAUAA